rnacentral:rRNA from 1 species
GAUGAACGCUGGCGGCGUGCUUAACACAUGCAAGUCGAACGAAGCACUUUAUUUGAUUUCCUUCGGGACUGAUUAUUUUGUGACUGAGUGGCGGACGGGUGAGUAACGCGUGGGUAACCUGCCUUGUACAGGGGGAUAACAGUUGGAAACGGCUGCUAAUACCGCAUAAGCGCACAGCAUCGCAUGAUGCAGUGUGAAAAACUCCGGUGGUAUAAGAUGGACCCGCGUUGGAUUAGCUAGUUGGUGAGGUAACGGCCCACCAAGGCGACGAUCCAUAGCCGACCUGAGAGGGUGACCGGCCACAUUGGGACUGAGACACGGCCCAAACUCCUACGGGAGGCAGCAGUGGGGAAUAUUGCACAAUGGGCGAAAGCCUGAUGCAGCGACGCCGCGUGAGCGAAGAAGUAUUUCGGUAUGUAAAGCUCUAUGAGCAGGUAAGAUAAUGACGGUACCUGACGAAGAAGCACCGGCUAAAUACGUG